rnacentral:rRNA from 1 species
CUAAACGAUGUCAACUAGUUGUUGGUGGAGUAAAAUCCAUGAGUAACGUAGCUAACGCGUGAAGUUGACCGCCUGGGGAGUACGGUCGCAAGAUUAAAACUCAAAUGAAUUGACGGGGGCCCGCACAAGCGGUGGAUUAUGUGAAUUAAUUCGAUGCAACGCGAAAAACCUUACCUGGCCUUGACAUGUACGGAACUUUCUAGAGAUAGAUUGGUGCCUUCGGGAACCGUAACACAGGUGCUGCAUGGCUGUCGUCAGCUCGUGUCGUGAGAUGUUGGGUUAAGUCCCGCAACGAGCGCAACCCUUGCCAAUAAUUGCCAUCAUUUAGUUGGGCACUUUAUUGGGACUGCCGGUGACAAACCGGAGGAAGGUGGGGAUGACGUCAAGUCCUCAUGGCCCUUAUGGCCAGGGCUUCACACGUAAUACAAUGGUCGGUACAGAGGGUCGCCAACCCGCGAGGGGGAGCAAAUCCCAGAAAGCCGAUCGUAGUCCGGAUUGUUCUCUGCAACUCGAGAGCAUGAAGUCGGAAUCGCUAGUAAUCGCGGAUCAGAAUGUCGCGGUGAAUACGUUCCCGGGCCUUGUACACGCCGCCCGUCACACCAUGGGAGUGGGUUUUACCAGAAGUAGGUAGUCUAACCUUCGGGGGGACGCUUACCACGGUAGUAUUCAUGACUGGGGUGAAGUCGUAACAAGGUAACCGUAAAUCU